rnacentral:lncRNA from 1 species
GUUUCAGGUUUUGCACUGAAGCACUUGUAGGAAUGUAGACUUCUAUGUAAAUAUACUUUUUUUGCGCCGCAGGACUGAUACAGAGUUUGUUUUUUGCAUAGGAUCUCAACUCACUCUGCUCUGAACAUUGUUUUUUACUGGAGAGAGGAGAGCAGAUUUGGACCGGAAGGGUUGGGGACAGAAUGUUUGCCAUAGACAUUUUGGUGUGUGCGGAGAACAAACAACUAGACACGCAUUAAGUCCUUUAGUGUGUGAUCUCUUGACCUGCAAUUCAUGCAGAACAUCUGCAGAUUUGAUUUUGACAUUUAAGGAACAUGCAGAUUUUGUGCACUCUGAAC